rnacentral:rRNA from 1 species
CCUACGGGAGGCAGCAGUAAGGAAUAUUGGACAAUGGGCGCAAGCCUGAUCCAGCCAUGCCGCGUGCAGGAUUAAGGCCCUAUGGGUUGUAAACUGCUUUUGGCGGGGAAAAAACCCUCUCACGUGUGAGAGGCUGAUGGUACCCGCAGAAUAAGGAUCGGCUAACUCCGUGCCAGCAGCCGCGGUAAUACGGAGGAUCCAAGCGUUAUCCGGAUUUAUUGGGUUUAAAGGGUGCGUAGGCGGAUUAGUAAGUCAGUGGUGAAAGCCUGCAGCUUAACUG